UACGUAGGGGGCUAGCGUUGUCCGGAAUCAUUGGGCGUAAAGCGCGCGUAGGCGGCCCGGUAAGUCCGCUGUGAAAGUCCAGGGCUCAACCCUGGAAAGCCGGUGGAUACUGCCGGGCUAGAGUCCGGAAGAGGCGAGUGGAAUUCCUGGUGUAGCGGUGGAAUGCGCAGAUAUCAGGAGGAACACCAAUAGCGAAGGCAGCUCGCUGGGACGGUACUGACGCUGAGACGCGAAAGCGUGGGGAGCGAACAGG
rnacentral:rRNA from 1 species